GGGCCCAUAGCUCAGCUGGUUAGAGCAGCAGACUCAUAAUCUGAAGGUCGAAGGUUCAAGUCCUUCUGGGCCCA
rnacentral:tRNA from 1 species